rfam:Rattus norvegicus chromosome 20, whole genome shotgun sequence.
GGGGAUUUAGCUCAGUGGUAGAGCGCUUGCCUAGUAAGUGCAAGGCCCUGGGUUCAGUCCUCA